AUCACAUUCCGAAAUGUUAAGUGUUCGUAAUGAUGAUAAUGAAGAUAACAUUUAUACAUAUCUUACUUAUGUGUUUUCUAUGAUCGAAUGCGAAACCUGUUACUGUUUGUAAAUGAUUUGAUUGCGGUGAAACGUCAAAAAACAACAAAAUAGCGGCGCUAAGUAGGUAACGUUACAUUGCCCUACCUGGGAGUGUGGACCAGACGCUCUAUAAAAAAGAAGAAAUGAAUAUUAACCUUGACGAAAUUCGACGAAAAACGUUGAUUUUGGUAAAUGCUAAUAAUUUUGUAUAUUACUGUCGUAUCAUUUAUACAAAAUGGAGCCAAAUCAAACAAUAGAUAUCGCGUAAAAAUUCAGGAAUGUAUAGCGGACAACACGGUUAGCGACAAUGGUAGAAGACUCGCCGUUUGCUAGCCAUUGCAGUGCAUUGCGAAGCUGAACGCCUGUCAUGUGAAGACUGGGAAGUGUCCGGGGUUUUGAUACAAAUUCAAAUUUAUAAAAACAUAGGAAAAAGAAAGACCGUCUUAAAGUAUACAUGGUCAUAUGUUUGUUUGUCAUAAUUCGCGAGAGAAGACGGCGAAAAAAUUACCUCACGAUCUGCGCUUUACUGUAAUGGCUGACUGUAUUCGCAUAGGAGGCAAGGCAGCGAGGCAAAUGGGAAGCUAGUGACAGAGGCGCAGUUCAGUUCAACUUUUUCUAACCGUGUUUUCUAGAGAAACAAGCCCGUAACUAUAAAAUGUAACGACGGCAAAAUAAAGUUCAAUCUUUCGUGAUUAGAACGACGCCAUUGCGAGAUUUUUCCGAUGCUUUUAAAACCUUUUAAUCGGGGGUUGAAAUUAAGUGGUCGCCGCGGUCGCUCUGCCCUCUAUUGCAUGCAGUGCAAUGGCUGUGCGUUGACACAAAGAGAAGGAGCCAUAUUCUCCAUGUUAGUGGAUGAAGACGAGCGGCCAUUAGGAGCUCAUAGAAACCAAGGCAGUAGCACAGCCCGCUCAUAGACACAGCACAGACCCAAUGUAUUACUAUACAAACCGGCUAGUGCAAUAGGAAUCAAUCGGGGAAAUAUUUUGUCAAGAUCGCCGGCUUUCCAGACAUAUUUGUCGUGUUGCAAAGCGAACUGAAGGGCGGGAGGAGACAUUUGAUGGGGACUUUCUUUCAUGAAGAAGGCAUUCUCACAAAAUGGAAGAAGAAAUAUUGCUGUCGUUGUUGACCUCCUUUUCCUCAACGAAAGCCUAUGCGCCAUUACUACUUCGGUCGACACAGCUUAACUGGGAGUUACAGUAGCAUUUAAUAGGAACAUGUAUAGGGAAAAUUGAGCAGUUUUAAACACUAUUCGCAAAUCUUGUGGAAUUAUUUCUAGAUUAAGAGAAAAUGAAUACUGAUAAAAUAAGAUUAUCAAAUCACAUUGAAUCGCAGUUUUUAAGUGUUAUAUUCAAUAAAUACGCCUUUAUGUAAAAUAUGUGUCUUUUUUGUGUCAAAGUUAUUUGUUUGAUGAAACAUGAACAUUAAUGAAACAGGGUGUCUCCAGAAGUCAUAUUAAUAUUGCUUAUGAGGUUUUAGGUAUUUUUUUUGUUGUCAUUUUGUCUUAAGAGCCAGGUCCACUGUUAUAGUCACACAGAGGGCUAAGGUGUAUGUUAUGCAGUUGCACUUGGGGAACUUUUGUAGUUUUCAUGUGAAAGUGAUACGGAAAGUGGGUCGUUGCAUUGAAAAAUAUAUUUAUUUUAUUUUUUGUGUUUUUUUUAUUCUUGAAUCCUUAGCGAUGUGUUUAGCCAUUUUCAAACCACCUCAUUGGGAGUUGACCACUGCGUUUUAUUUAAAGUCCACUGCGCAGAUUACUUCAAUAAAUAAACUCCUUUUCAUUGCAUAGCCCCGUCUGUGCCGUACGGCUUUAUUUCAUCGGACUGUUUUUAACGGGUCCUAACUUAGUGCAGUUUGACAGCUAGGAGGGCGGGUCACCUAGGUAGCGUAUCAAUACUAGUGGUCAAUAGAGAAAAAUAAAAGAAGUGUCCAUUGUUAUGACAUGCUAGUACAUCUCACCUGCUAUACAAUGUAUAUUUAGAAUUAUGGAUUUAAGAUAUAAUUAAUACACUUUUAUUUAUUUAAAAAAAAAAAAAAAAAAAAUUUCGCUUGGGGGAAUAGUUGGGUCUCUGUUAAUUAUAGUGUGGUCUAGACGUACUCUAUCUGUAAAUUGUCCUGAGAUAACGUCUGUUAUGUUAUGA